UGGCUGCAGUCCUCACCACCUACCAAUAUAGACUAUCUCAAAAGGCCAAAAAAACCCAAAUUCAGAUGAAUGAUGGGACUCUACAGUAGGACGCAGCAUUGAAGAUUGGGUCAGAGAACAGGCUUCCCCACACUAGGAGUUACAUGGGACAAGAGGCGAGCAUCUUCCAAGACACCCAGGAACCAGGAGACCUCCAGCUUCUUCACUUAGUAGGGCUAAAGAAGACCGAUUAUGAGGCCCCUCAGCAUAUUCCUGCUGCUCUCCAUGGCUCUGUGCUGCUUCAUGUGUAAGUUUCCCCUUGAGUACACUGCCCAUGCAUUGGCGUCAGUAACCUUCAGAAACCCCUUCAUCC
rnacentral:lncRNA from 1 species